UGACUCUUGUUUCUUGUCAGAUUGUGUAAAUCUUUUGCUUUUUACAAAAGAUUUCAAUGGGGAGGAACAAGAAGAGUGUAACUCAAUUUUUUUAUUCUCUGCACAAGUGGAGCU